rnacentral:rRNA from 1 species
GUGUCAGCAGCCGCGGUAAUACGUAGGGGGCGAGCGUUAUUCGGAAUUACUGGGUGUAAAGGGUAUGUAGGCGGCCUCACAAGUCGCGUGUCAAAGUCCAGCGCUUAACGCUGGGUUCGCACGUGAUACUGUCUGGCUUGAGGACUGGAGAGGUGAGCGGAAUUCCCGGUGUAGUGGUAAAAUACGUAGAUAUCGGGAGGAACACCAGCGGCGUAGGCGGCUCACUAGACAGUUUCUGACGCUAAGAUACGAAAGCGUGGGGAGCAAACAGGAUUAGAUACCCUGGUAGUCCACGCCCUAAACGAUGGAUACUUGGUGUUGGGGGGUUACCCUCAGUGCCGGAGCUAACGCGUUAAGUAUCCCACCUGGGGACUACGGCCGCAAGGCUAAAACUUAAAUGAAUUGACGGGG